rnacentral:piRNA from 1 species
UAGUCAUCAACUGUAUCCGGGCAGCCUGC